GAUGAACGCUGGCGGCGUGCCUAAUACAUGCAAGUCGAGCGAACGGACGAGAAGCUUGCUUCUCUGAUGUUAGCGGCGGACGGGUGCGUAACACGUGGAUAACCUACCUAUAAGACUGUGAUAACUUCGGGAAACCGGAUCUAAUACCGGAUAAUAUUUUGAACCGCAUGGUUCAAAAGUGAAAGACGGUCUUGCUGUCCCUUAUAGAUGGAUCCGCGCUGCAUUAGCUAGUUGGUAAGGUAACGGCUUACCAAGGCAACGAUGCAUAGCCGACCUGAGAGGGUGAUCGGCCACACUGGAACUGAGACACGGUCCAGACUCCUACGGGAGGCAGCAGUAGGGAAUCUUCCGCAAUGGGCGAAAGCCUGACGGAGCAACGCCGCGUGAGUGAUGAAGGUCUUCGGAUCGUAAAACUCUGUUAUUAGGGAAGAACAUAUGUGUAAGUAACUGUGCACAUCUUGACGGUACCUAAUCAGAAAGCCACGGCUAACUACGUG
rnacentral:rRNA from 1 species